GGACUGGAUCAACGGCUUGACGAUAAGAAAGCUGUCUCUCUUUACUAAACUCUGAAGUUAGCUGGAUAGUGAAGAGACUCUCUUAGCAAAGCGGGACGAGAAGACCCCGUUGAGCUUUAGUAAAAAUUGUUUAUUAAAAACUUGAUUACUUGAGUUGGGGCAACUAUCUUUCUUUUUUAAAACAAAGAUAAAAAUGUUUUGAGUUGAUUCUCUUAUGACCCUUAAUCUUAGGAAUAGUAGAAAAAGUUACCACGGGGAUAACAGCGUAAUUUUUUUUGAGAGUUCUUAUUGACAAAAAAGUUUGCGACCUCGAUGUUG
rnacentral:rRNA from 1 species